rnacentral:rRNA from 1 species
UAGGGAAUCUUCGGCAAUGGGGGCAACCCUGACCGAGCAACGCCGCGUGAGUGAAGAAGGUUUUCGGAUCGUAAAGCUCUGUUGUAAGAGAAGAACGUGUGUGAGAGUGGAAAGUUCACACAGUGACGGUAACUUACCAGAAAGGGACGGCUAACUACGUGCCAGCAGCCGCGGUAAUACGUAGGUCCCGAGCGUUGUCCGGAUUUAUUGGGCGUAAAGCGAGCGCAGGCGGUUUAAUAAGUCUGAAGUUAAAGGCAGUGGCUUAACCAUUGUUCGCUUUGGAAACUGUUAAACUUGAGUGCAGAAGGGGAGAGUGGAAUUCCAUGUGUAGCGGUGAAAUGCGUAGAUAUAUGGAGGAACACCGGUGGCGAAAGCGGAUCUCUGGUAUGUAACUGACGAUGAGGCUCGAAAGCGUGGGGAGCAAACAGG